rnacentral:misc_RNA from 1 species
AAAUUACUUGGUAUUUUAUCUUCUUGUCAUGUUGAGUUUGUAGGUUCGCUUAUUGAUUGACGCGUGCAAUUGUUGUCCUCUUAAUCGAUUCAGUUUUAGGUUUUCGUUGGAAACUACUUUUUCAGCUCUAGCUAAUGUUUAGAUCUCUUUGCUUGUUGUUUGGUUACUGAGGAAAAAAAUAAUUUAAAAAAAAUUUUUUUUUCAGUGAAUAUAUCAGCUACUUCCUUACGUUUCAGUUUUAAAUCAACAAGCUGGAUUAAAUUAUU